GGGGAUCUUAACAACCCAAUUGCUGAAUACAGAAGACCAUAUAUAAAGAAGUGUACCAACAUGAACUCCAAGAUAUGGAAACAAGAGGUUCUUACCAUGUAUUGUAUGUAGUUUAUUUUUUAGUUUUAAUUUUAUUUUCUGUCUUUCCACU